rnacentral:lncRNA from 1 species
GUUAAUAGCACGUGAUCUUUUGGAAAAUUCAAUCUGGGAUAAUAAACUUUAAUUGUGCCAACCUCGUUAGGUGGAUACAAGAUACUACUGGACUGACUCUUGAAGAGAAUUGGACCACCAAUUACUUGAGUUCAUUUUUGAUCAGAGUCUACACCUGUCUCAGCUCCUUAAAAUUACGCCAGGAAUACAAGGCCAGUGAAUGUGCACAGAACAAGAUAGAUGGAAUUAGUCUAAUUGAGCCACCAUUUGUCAAUUUUUCAUUAGUUUAUUUAAUUAGAACUUGGCG